rfam:Schistosoma margrebowiei strain Zambia genome assembly, scaffold: SMRZ_contig0001183
GCACUGUUGAGGAGCCCCAUAAUAGGACGAAACGGCCUUCCAGUGC